GGAGGGGGUUAGCGUUGUUCGGAAUUACUGGGCGUAAAGCGCGCGUAGGCGGAUUAGAAAGUGGGGGUGAAAUCCCGGGGCUCAACCUCGGAACUGCCUCCAAAACUGCUAGUCUAGAGUUCGAGAGAGGUGAGUGGAAUUCCGAGUGUAGAGGUGAAAUUCGUAGAUAUUCGGAGGAACACCAGUGGCGAAGGCGGCUCACUGGCUCGAUACUGACGCUGAGGUGCGAAAGUGUGGGGAGCAAACAGGAUUAGAUACCCUGGUAGUCCACACCGUAAACGAUGAAUGCCAGUCGUCGGGUAGUAUAUCAAUUCGGUGACACACCUAACGGAUUAAGCAUUCCGCCUGGGGAGUACGGUCGCAAGAUUAAAACUCAAAGGAAUUGACGG
rnacentral:rRNA from 1 species